ncrna:unclassified sequences L13-Bacteroidia ribosomal protein leader
AGUGGCCUCUUUUGAGGCACUAUCUGCGUGUUAAUAGCUACGUUCUUUGGCCGAACGUGGUGGUUAGUGAAUC